rnacentral:rRNA from 1 species
GACGAACGCUGGCGGCGUGCUUAACACAUGCAAGUCGAGCGGUAAGGCUCCUUCGGGAGUACACGAGCGGCGAACGGGUGAGUAACACGUGAGUAAUCUGCCCUUCACUUCGGGAUAACCACCGGAAACGGUGGCUAAUACCGAAUACGACCAGUCUUCGCAUGAGGUGCUGGUGGAAAGUCUUUUCGGUGAAGGAUGUGCUCGCGGCCUAUCAGCUUGUUGGUGGGGUAAUGGCCUACCAAGGCUUCGACGGGUAGCCGGCCUGAGAGGGUGACCGGCCACACUGGGACUGAGACACGGCCCAGACUCCUACGGGAGGCAGCAGUGGGGAAUAUUGGACAAUGGGCGAAAGCCUGAUCCAGCAACGCCGCGUGAGGGAUGACGGCCUUCGGGUUGUAAACCUCUUUCAGUACCGACGAAGCGCCCUGUCGGGUGGUGACGGUAGGUACAGAAGAAGGACCGGCCAACUACGUGC